rfam:Nematostella vectensis strain CH2 x CH6 NEMVEscaffold_52_Cont7995, whole genome shotgun sequence.
UCCUCGAUAGCGCAGUUGGUAAUGCAUUGGAGUUUCAAUCUAAAGGUCAGUGGUUCAAAUCCUUGUGAAGGUA